rnacentral:rRNA from 1 species
UAAGGAAUAUUGGUCAAUGGACGCAAGUCUGAACCAGCCAUGCCGCGUGGAGGAUUAAGGCCCUCUGGGUUGUAAACUCCUUUUAUCUGGGAAGAAAUGUACUUUUUCUUGAGUACUUGACGGUACCAGAGGAAUAAGCACCGGCUAACUCCGUGCCAGCAGCCGCGGUAAUACGGAGGGUGCAAGCGUUAUCCGGAUUCACUGGGUUUAAAGGGUGCGUAGGUGGGCAGGUAAGUCAGUGGUGAAAUCUCCGAGCUUAACUCGGAAACUGCCGUUGAUACUAUUUGUCUUGAAUAUUGUGGAGGUAAGCGGAAUAUGUCAUGUAGCGGUGAAAUGCUUAGAUAUGACAUAGAACACCAAUUGCGAAGGCAGCUUACUACACAAUUAUUGACACUGAGGCACGAAAGCGUGGGGAUCAAAC